AAAAAAAAAAAUCCUUAGUUUCGAUAUCCAACGUUUAACCGUCCGUUUUAUUUUAAAAAACUAUAAAAAAUUAAAAAGACAAAUCACGCAUAAAGUAUUAAUCAUGUUUUAUCAUAAAACAAUAAUAAAAAUAUUGAUUAUAAAAAAAAUUCAUAUAAAACGGACAGUCAAACGUUGCACACAGAAACCCAGAGUUUGUCUUUCU
rfam:Oryza glaberrima chromosome 8 Oglab08_0020_11, whole genome shotgun sequence.